rnacentral:lncRNA from 1 species
CUCGCUAUGGCCGUGCACCAGCUUCUCACAUGGGAAUCUGGACCAGGGAGACAUGAUGCUCCGUGGCUUCACUGGGACACACUGAGCGCCCUCCUUCAGCCAACAAUAUUGUACUGGCGGACUUCUUUUCAACUCUGAUUCCCAAUGGUACUUGUAGUUAACUGCAGUCCAGAGAUACAAAGGAGAAGAUUCUGAAAGUCAGGAGCAGAAGGGAGUCUCAUGCA